rnacentral:rRNA from 1 species
AUCGAACGCUGGCGGCAUGCCUUACACAUGCAAGUCGAACGGUAACAGGUUAAGCUGACGAGUGGCGAACGGGUGAGUAAUGUAUCGGAACGUGCCCAGUCGUGGGGGAUAACUACUCGAAAGAGUGGCUAAUACCGCAUACGACCUGAGGGUGAAAGCGGGGGACCGUAAGGCCUCGCGCGAUUGGAGCGGCCGAGAUCAGAUUAGCGAGUUGGUGGGGGAAAAGCCCACCAAGGCGACGAUCUGUAGCUGGUCUGCGAGGACGACCCGCCACACUGGGACUGAGACACGGCCCAGACUCCUACGGGAGGCAGCAGUGGGGAAUUUUGGACAAUGGACGCAAGUCUGAUCCAGCCAUGCCGCGUGCGGGAAGAAGGCCUUCGGGUUGUAAACCGCUUUUGUCAGGGAAGAAACGAGUUUCUCUAAUACAGAGACUUAAUGACGGUACCUGAAGAAUAAGCACCGGCUAACUACGUGCCAGCCGCCGCGGUAACAC